AAUCAACGCUGGCGGCGUGCCUCAGACAUGCAAGUCGAACGCGAAAGGCUCCUUCGGGGGCCGAGUAGAGUGGCGCACGGGUGAGUAACACGUAGGUAAUUUGCCUUUGGGUGGGGAAUAACUCAGGGAAACUUGAGCUAAUACCGCAUAAUGCAGCGGCUCGACAUCGAGACAGUUGUUAAAGCGGGGGAUCGCAAGACCUCGCGCCUGAAGAGAAGCCUGCGGCAGAUUAGCUAGUUGGUAGGUAAUGGCCUACCAAGGCGACGAUCUGUAACCGGCCUGAGAGGGCGGUCGGUCACACUGACACUGACAGUACGGGUCAGACUCCUACGGGAGGCAGCAGUCGGGAAUUUUGGGCAAUGGGCGCAAGCCUGACCCAGCAACGCCGCGU
rnacentral:rRNA from 1 species